rnacentral:rRNA from 1 species
GACGAACGCUGGCGGCGCGCCUAACACAUGCAAGUCGAACGAGAGAUGAGGAGCUUGCUCUUCAAAUCGAGUGGCGAACGGGUGAGUAACGCGUGAGGAACCUGCCUCAAAGAGGGGGACAACAGUUGGAAACGACUGCUAAUACCGCAUAAGCCCACGGCUCGGCAUCGAGCAGGGGGAAAAGGAGCAAUCCGCUUUGAGAUGGCCUCGCGUCCGAUUAGCUAGUUGGUGAGGUAACGGCCCACCAAAGCGACGAUCGGUAGCCGGACUGAGAGGUUGAACGGCCACAUUGGGACUGAGACACGGCCCAGACUCCUACGGGAGGCAGCAGUGGGGAAUAUUGCACAAUGGGGGAAACCCUGAUGCAGCGACGCCGCGUGGAGGAAGAAGGUCUUCGGAUUGUAAACUCCUGU